GGGCGACGCGGCCCGGCAUUUUUCUCUAAAUCGGCAGUAAAUACAGCUGAGUAAAAUUAGCUUGGCUUUCUUCCUUCUUUUGUAACUGAACUGUUUUUAUUAAAAAUCCUAUUUGAAUAUGUGGAAAAAGUGGGGAUGUCCUGUAGCAUAUCGUAGCUUUUCUUGUUUACAGGGUGCUCAGAAAGCAUGCGUCCCUUAGAGUCCCACGGAAAGGUUCUCAGUGCGCUCUCUAUCAAGUGCUAUGAGUCUUGAUAAAUUGGAGAAGAGCCCAAGAGAAAUUUUUCAUCCCUUGAUAUAAAAGGAUUUAUUGGUUCUGGAAGAACAAGAGGGAAGUACAAGCCUAACUUCUUCUAGCUCACAGACCCGUCCGGUGAAC